rnacentral:rRNA from 1 species
UACAGAGGGGGCAAGCGUUGUCCGGAAUUACUGGGCGUAAAGAGCUCGUAGGUGGUUUGUCGCGUUGUCCGUGAAAACUCACAGCUUAACUGUGGGCGUGCGGGCGAUACGGGCAGACUGGAGUACUGCAGGGGAGACUGGAAUUCCUGGUGUAGCGGUGGAAUGCGCAGAUAUCAGGAGGAACACCGGUGGCGAAGGCGGAUCUCUGGGCCUGUCCUGACGCUCAGGCGCGAAAGCUAGGGGAGCAAACAGG